rnacentral:lncRNA from 1 species
UUUGAGAUUUGAUCUUCCUACUAAGAUUCUAUAACUUUAAAUUUUUUCUAAAAAAAAUUUAGAAAUAUUUUAUUUUAUUUGUUCUAGAGAGAGACAGAGCAGGGGGGAGGGGCAAAAGGAGAGGGAGAGAGAGAAUCUCUAGCAGACUCCUUGCUGAGGGCAAAACCCUAUGUUAGGCUCCAUCUAGUGACCCUGGGAUCAUGACUUGAGCUGAAGUCAAGAGCUAGAUAUUUAACUGACUAAGCCACCCAGGUGCCACAUCCAUAACUCUUUCUUUCUGCUUUAUCUCACAUGGCUUUGGGAUCUUGUUCAUCAAUUUGGAAAGUCUAGAUUAUAAGUGUCUCCCAUUUUAGUAAAAUUGGAAUUGUGAGAGUUUGAAAAUUUUUCUAAUUGAGUUUUAAUUAUUUUCAAGGAAACAAGUAGUUGAAUCCUGAUUCAUACAGCUAUGUUAAUACCAGAGAAAAAAGAGGCCAUCACUAGUUCAGGAACAUGAAAAAUAAUCAUUACUCCAGGAUCUCUACUGUCAUUUCAAGAUUAACUUAUAUUGUUCUUGUGCUGUGAUAAACUAUCAACUUUUUUCCCAAAGUACACCACUGCAUUCCCGCAUAGGCUACGUUUCCCUUGGGAACAAUGGGUCCUGGUUGCUGUGGGUUUGGUGCAACAUGGCAGUCCGCAUCUCACACCAGAUCCUCUGGGAAAGAAAAGAACAGUGAACAGUUCUAAUUUUUUUCUCUUUGAAAAGGCUUGUGUUUGAUUUGAACUAUAUUUGUAUGAAUAUAAUAAACACAAGUUGAUGUGAAAAGAUAUUUCUCUUUUAUAGAAUGUUCAUGUUCAUAGGGUAAGUUGCAGAUCAAAAUAUGCAGGUGAAUUAAUUUGUUAUUUAUGAUUGGGCAUAAUUUUAGUUCUUUGGGAAUAUUGAUUUUUUAAAUUUGCAACCAUUUAAACAUGUAUUUGUGUCACCAAUCAUAUGCAUAAUUUAAAACACUG